rnacentral:rRNA from 1 species
UACGUAGGGACCAAGCGUUAUCCGGAAUCAUUGGGCGUAAAGGGUGAGUAGGCGGACAUUUAAGAGAGAGUUGAAAGGCUAUGGCUCAACCAUAGUAAGGCUUUCUAACUGGAUGUCUUGAGAACAGGAGAGGAAAGUGGAAUUUCUAGUGUAGCGGUGAAAUGCGUAGAUAUUAGAAGGAACACCGGUGGCGAAGGCGACUUUCUGGACUGUUACUGACGCUGAGGCGCGAAAGCGUGGGGAGCAAACAGG